UACGUAGGGUCCGAGCGUUGUCCGGAUUUACUGGGCGUAAAGAGCGCGCAGGCGGUCGUUCAAGUCGCGUGUGAAAGCCCCCGGCUCAACUGGGGAGGGUCACGCGAUACUGAUCGACUCGAAGGCAGGAGAGGGUAGUGGAAUUCCCGGUGUAGUGGUGAAAUGCGUAGAUAUCGGGAGGAACACCAGUGGCGAAGGCGACUACCUGGCCUGUUUCUUGACGCUGAGGCGCGAAAGCUAGGGGAGCAAACGGG
rnacentral:rRNA from 1 species